rnacentral:antisense_RNA from 1 species
CAUUAUGGUGGGCUGUGUGGGGGCUUCUGUGGAAGCGCCGGGUUCACUUAGCCGGUUACGCCAACCCUGCACAGCUCACCACCAGA